rnacentral:rRNA from 1 species
UACGUAGGGGCAAGCGUUGUCCGGAAUCAUUGGGCGUAAAGAGCGUGUAGGCGGUUCGGUAAGUCGGCUGUGAAAGUCCAGGGCUCAACCCUGGGAUGCCGGUCGAUACUGCCGGACUAGAGUUCGGAAGAGGCGAGUGGAAGUUCCACGUGUAGCGGUGAAAUGCGUAGAUAUCUGGAGGAACACCGGUGGCGAAGGCGGCAUCCUGGACCGGCAUUGACGCUGAGGCGCGAAAGCCAGGGAGCAAGCGGG